CGUUUCCUGUGCUGUUGGUGAAGCACCUGUGGUUUUAACCGAUGCAUAUGUACCGGGAGUUCGCGACAUAGCAAAGCGAGCACACGCCACCUCGAGUGGACUUGCGGACUUCGCGUCAGAACACCCACCUGCGAGAAGCAGGUUGAAAACCGCUCGGCUUCACGGCAAAAUGGGGCGUCG
rnacentral:other from 1 species